rnacentral:rRNA from 1 species
GGUCUGCAACUCGACCACACGAAGCUGGAAUCGCUAGUAAUCGCGGAUCAGCACGCCGCGGUGAAUAACGUUCCCGGGCCUUGUACACACCGCCCGUCACACCAUGAGAGUCUGUAACACCCAAAGCCGGUGGGAUAACCUUUAUAGGAGUCAGCCGUCUAAGGUAGGACAGAUGAUUAGGGUGAAGUCGUAACAAGGUAGC